AGAACGAACGCUGGCGGCAGGCCUCAAACAUGCAAGUCUAGGGGGUGUAGCAAUACAUCACCGGCGGACGGGUGCGUAACACGUGGGAAUGUACUUACUGGUACGGAACAACUCAGGGAAACUUGAGCUAAUACCGCAUAAGCCCGAAAGGGGAAAGAUUUAUCGCCAGUAAAUCAGCCCGCGUCCGAUUAGCUAGUUGGUGGGGUAAAGGCUCACCAAGGCUCCGAUCGGUAGCUGUUCUGAGAGGAAGAUCAGCCACACUGGGACUGAGACACGGCCCAGACUCCUACGGGAGGCAGCAGUUGGGAAUCUUGGACAAUGGGGGAAACCCUGAUCCAGCCAUGCCGCGUGAGUGAUGAAGGCCUUAGGGUUGUAAAACUCUUUCGACGGGGACGAUAAUGACGGUACCCGUAGAAGAAGCUCCGGCUAACUUCGUGCCAGCAGCCGC
rnacentral:rRNA from 1 species